AUUGAACGCUGGCGGCAGGCCUAACACAUGCAAGUCGAACGAGUGGCGGACGGGUGAGUAAUGUCUGGGAAACUGCCCGAUGGAGGGGGAUAACUACUGGAAACGGUAGCUAAUACCGCAUACCAUCGGAUGUGCCCAGAUGGGAUUAGCGAGUAGGUGGGGUAACGGCUCACCUAGGCGACGAUCCCUAGCUGGUCUGAGAGGAUUACCAGCCACCCUGGAAAUGAGACACGGUCCAGACUCCCUCGGGAGGCAGCAGUUGGGAAUAUUGCCCAAUUGGCGCAAGCCUGAUUCAGCCAUUCCGCGUGUAUGAAGAAGGCCUUCGGGUUGUAAAGUACUUUCAGCGAGGAGGCGUUACUCGCAGAAGAAGCACCGGCUAACUCCGUGCCAGCAGCCGCAGUAAUUC
rnacentral:rRNA from 1 species